UCCGGCCGCGGCACCGGGGGGCCGGUCCGGGGCGGGUCUGUUGGAGGCGGGUAGAGGCGUGGGCGCUGCCCCGGUGAGGGGCCGAGGCUGCUUGGCCGGCAGGAGCGGGCUCUAGCGCGUCUCCGCUCGGCUCCUCUCCGGCUCCCGCAUGCUGGUGCCCGGGCUGGGGCUGUGGCUGCUGGCCCUGGCCUUGGCCUUGGGGUCGGCAGGGGUGUGGGCGCAGCUCAGGCUGGAAGAGACCGGCGGAGGGCUGCGAGCGCCCGGGGACUCCGUGCUCCUCUCCUGUCGGGCAAUUGGCUUCACCUUCGAGGAUUACGAAAUUCAGUGGUACCGUCGGGCGCCCGGAGGCAGAAUCGAGUGGGUGUCCAUCAUCAGCUUUGAUUCUUCAGUCACUAAAUUUGCGCAGUCCAUGGAGAGUCGAGCUAACGUCUCCCGGGACAGUUCAGAGCUUGAAUCAUCUCUGUCCCUGCAUGCCCUGCAGCCUCAGGACUCUGCUCGCUACUUCUGUGCCGUUUACACGGAGACAAUAAAUCAAGCUGAGCUUUAACAGAAAGCUACUGGGGCCCCUCCAGGGUGCACAAGCUGAGUGGAGUAGUGUUCUGUGGCAUCACAGGCCUGCUCCAGGGAGAGAGGUGCAGGGGAGAGCCAUCUGUGCACAUCAUGGUGGCCGUGGCUUUCCAGCAAGAGCUCCUUUUCCAGCACUGCCAUUUCCCAUCUCCUGAGUCCCAGAUGCAGUGAAUUCUGUGGAGGGUUUCAGAAUAUUCCUUGUCACCCAGCCAGUCUCUGUGCCUUUCCUUCUUCCCUUGGCCCCCUUCUUCUCUGGGGUACUCAAAGCUCUUGGACUUCGGCAACUUCGUUGUCUGGCAACGAUUGCCCCCUUCAAUUGACCCUUUUGUGGGCCUUGUGUCAGUGAGAGCAAAGCACUAACUGAAUACCCUUGCUUUGUUUUU